UGGUGAGUAAGGCUCCCAGAAAGAAUGAUGUCCGUGGACGCGGGAUGGGAUCAAGUAAGGGGAGGUUCACCA
rnacentral:sRNA from 12 species